CAGGAAUUUUAACGUUGGUUUUCAGGUAAUCUGGACCUCUUACCAUGAAUUUGUCUCCAGGUGGGGAAGCCCAACCGUUUUGACAAUUAUCUGGUUCAAGUAGUGGAACAGCCCCCUCUGAUUUGAUUCUCUCUAUCCAUUCACACUCACUUUUGUCACCAAGGCUGGCCAUAUGAUCCUUUGAUUGAAAGAAAGAGAGGGUCACUAAAGAAUAAGAUUCUUAGGAACCCUGACAAUGGAGAGAGAGGCUUGAAAAG
rnacentral:misc_RNA from 1 species